GGGGGCCCGCACAAGCGGUGGAGCAUGUGGUUUAAUUCGAUGCAACGCGAAGAACCUUACCUGGUCUUGACAUCCACGGAAGUUUUCAGAGAUGAGAAUGUGCCUUCGGGAACCGUGAGACAGGUGCUGCAUGGCUGUCGUCAGCUCGUGUUGUGAAAUGUUGGGUUAAGUCCCGCAACGAGCGCAACCCUUAUCCUUUGUUGCCAGCGGUCCGGCCGGGAACUCAAAGGAGACUGCCAGUGAUAAACUGGAGGAAGGUGGGGAUGACGUCAAGUCAUCAUGGCCCUUACGACCAGGGCUACACACGUGCUACAAUGGCGCA
rnacentral:rRNA from 1 species